UUUUGUGCGCCCACCCUGGUGUGGUCUUUUUUGUGUGGGCAGGUGAGGGGUUAGGGGGAGGGGGAGAGAGAUGGGCUAACGUGGCAACGGGGGCUGGAUUUGGAUUGAGUUGACGCGGUGGCGGGGACUAGACGCACGGCGGCGGGCAGGAGACCAGGGGAGCACGGUGUAGUAGAGGCUGGGACCGGAGGGAGGGGCGUCCCGUGGUAGGCGGGCCCUCGUCGUCGAGGCAGGCGGUGCGGCUCCUCGUCGUCGCGGCAGUUGGCGGCGACUCCUAGGUGACGACUAAACAGAGGUGCACGCUGGAGACAAAGUAGACUAAAGGAAGCGAGGCGGGGCGGAUGUCUUAAGUUCUACAUUCGAAGACCACCACCUCCGUUCAGUUCUAAAAUGCGGCCAAGACAAUGUCCUUGUCUCCUAUCAGGAGGAUUCGACGAAUUACCAUCUCAACCUUAGGGAGAUCAGGUCGAGGUCCGUCCUCCAGCCUACCUUGACCUAGUCAUAGCUCUAAUCCUUAGUUGGUUCAGCGGGAAAACUAGUUGAUGUUGUCGUCCUGUUUGUUACCACCCUUUUACCAUCUUUCAUCGUUCAGGUGAUCAACUAGCUUCUACAAGAACACUAACGAAAAGAACUAUUAUACCUACUGUGUAAAACAAGUAUACCUUCAACUAAACCGAACCGCUAACUUCUAAACCAGGGAACCAGAGAAAACUUGAAACCGGUAAUACAAACAUUGUACGGAGAGAACAUAUAGGCUGAACACAUAAAGGUAUUACCAACAUCGAUUGAACUCACUUCUUUUGAUAACUUAGAAUAUAUCUAUAAUUUUAAUUACGUAACUAGUUACUAUAGAACACUACUUAUCUUCUCAAGUUAACAAACAUACAC
rnacentral:rRNA from 1 species